UUAUUACAUUUCUCCAAACAGAAGACAGAAGUCCUUCUUAAACACACAAACCAAAGCUCCAACACACUUGGGGAUGCAAGCUCAACCAGCCACACAUCACCCUAUUACAAACUGAUCGAUAAAAAGCAAAUCAGCCACACAACAUAACAAAUAAGGGCAUUGCGUGCGUAUAAUACAUUAUUAAGUAGAGUAUUAAAGAACACCUAGUGGUGCUCGUGGUGGUGGGAGCCAGGAAGCUUCUCCUUAAUCUUAUCCAUUAUUCCUUUCUUCUCAUGAUCAUGGCCAUACUCAGCUGAAUGAUAACCACCUGGAGUUGUAGCUGAGGUUGCUUGAGUUCUUUCUUCCUUAUGAUGACCUGGUAGCUUCUCUUUUAUCUUUUCUUUUAGCCCUUUCUUCCUCCUUCCACCAUGUCCAUCAUCUUCAGACUGCAGAUUAGGUUUUCCAUAUAAACAAACAUGUUUCUAACUUUUUUAACGAAACGAAAGAACCUGAUGGUAAGCUUAUAGCAAAAGUAAAAGACGUGAUUGCAAUUUAUUUUUUAAAAAUAGCAAGAUGAAAGUGUUAAUUAAAAAAAAAUUACGCAUGAUAAAUUUUCAGAGUAAUAUUUUAACUUACGGAGCUAGAGCUGGAGGAGCCAGAACGGUGAAGCUGACCAGACUCUCCGUAGUGUUCUUGGCGGUGUCCCAUGCCAAGGCCAGUAGUACCAGUCUCUGGUGCGCCACCGUAUGCAGUGGUAGUACCAGUUUGAGGGAUUGGAUUACCAUACUCGUCUGUUUGGCGUAUUGCGCGACCGUAUUCGUCUACUGGAUUGCCGUAUUCGUCCGUAUAGUUAACUGCGCCAUAUUGGUUUUGAAAGUGAGCCAUUUUGUGAACGCAAACACAAACUCUACACAGAAGAUUGGUUUUGAAUGUUAAUUAUAAACCAUAUAAAUAAUAAGGAGCUCGGUUAUGAGGGGCGGUUUACACGUGGCAGAUGGAGGUGGUGACUGGGCUUAGCACUGCCACGUUAAUAUAUUCUGCUACGUGUACCUCUCUGUUAAGGGAAAAGUGUUCUUUUCAACUUUUUUUAUUCUUUUGUUGUCGGCUAGAGAUAAAUACUAAUGGUUGUAUUUUCUUCGUAGUUGAGAAAAUAGCUUAGCCGAUAGGAUAUUACUAUUACAUAAACACCAACGACUCGUCAAACCACCCAUGUAAGAAUAAAAUAUUAAAUAAUUAAAUAUUAAAUUUGUACUAUUAAUAAAUUAAACCAAUAAAAAUAGAAAUUUUUUAAAAUUUAUUUCUAUUUUAUAAUCUUUUUUCGGUGUAUAAUCAAAAUAUUAUUCGUUAAAAAAAAUUUCUUAUCAUUUAUCGAUUUAAUUCAUAAAUGAGUUCAUAAAUUAAGUUUAGAUAAAUCAAUUCCAAAAAUUAAUCCAUUUAAUUUCAGUUAAUUUAAAACUUACGGAUACACUAAUUGUAAAUUUAAAAUAAAUAGAGAUUAUAAACUUAUUAAACGAAUUUGGAUAUUAGGUGAGUUGGUCCAAUUCUUUAAAAAUCCUUUGCAGGCCUUCUUACAGUUUCGACUCGGUGUUAGUUGAAGAAAUGGGUUUAUAAAAUGGGCUGAUGGGUUUGGUCCAGGGAUGAAUUGCAAGGGCCCAAUACCGGAUUUUGGGCUUUUAGUCGUACAAAAAGAAUUAAACAUUUGGAUUCACCGUUUUACCUAGAUGUUGAUUUGGUCCGGUUCGGUAUUACCUGGAUCAUAGUAAAAGUCAGCUAUUCGCACUUUUCUGGUUUGAAAAAGUUUUAUAAUAUAAUUAAGCAAAUCAAUUUUGUUGUUUUUCUGAAAAAGUUAAAGUAUUUCGGACUAAAAUAAGAUUUAUAUAACAUGACAUUUUUCAAAGUACUAUUAAAAAACCUCUUCGUAAAGAAAUUUAAAGGAUUCUUAAACUCUUUUUAGUAGGGUAUGAAGAGUCGCAACCAAAGAAGUCUACAUUGGCUGUUGUGGGGGCGUUAUUACGUUGAAGGACCAUGAUUUUUGUCCAACACUAGUCUUUGCAUUCUGCACUUUUUGACUUAUGUAUUAACUUGGAAGCUAACAAUGUUGCUUAUGUAUUAACGAGGGUAGCUUGUUAGAAGGCUUGGAGUGUACUUCCAAGCUUUUUUUUUUUUUUUUUUUUUUUUUUUUUUUUUUUUUUAAACCACUAAUAUCCAGAUUCUGUUACCACAACUAAUACGGUUUAGAGUUUAGUUACAGUUAAUGCUCUCCGUCUCUUCCUGCAAGUGUAUUUAGUGAAGAAUCAAACUUAAGAGUUCUUUCCACAUACUCAACCUAUGUUACCAACUGAACCACAACCUGUAAGUUUACAAACCAAGUUUUUUAUUCUAUGCUUCAAUAAUAAAUUUAUUUCUUACUCUCACAAAAAUUAACAAAUGAAAAAAAAACUCAUUUAAUUACCUUUUGUUUAAAUAACAUUAAUGUACUAGACGUUUAAAAUGUUAAAACCACCAUAUUCAUUUCUUCCAAUUUAAUUAAUUAAAUUAAGAUAUUUUUCUUCACAUAGCAUGUAAAAUGCUUAGAUUUAAAAACUAUUAAAUAUUAUUCUCUCCGUCUUAUUUUGUUUACUUAUUAUUAUUUUUUUUAUGUCACAAAAUAUUGCGAGAUUUUUAAAUUUAAAUAUGUAAAUAAUUAUUUUUCUCAUAAUAAUUUUUAUGAUUGUUUAUUAAAUGAAAGACUUUUAUUAAUGUCUUAAUGAAUUAAGGGUAAAAAAAACAAAAUAACUUUUAUUGACUAAAUUUUUAAUAUGCGUGUUUUGUUAAACUAUACAAACAAAAUGGGACGGAAAGAGUAUAAUUUUUAAUUCAAAUUUAAAUGAAAUUGAUUUUUCUUUUUCAAUUUCUUCAUGUACUUCAGUGGAUAGAGCAGCUCAAAAUCCAAUCUGUCAACCCGUUAAGAUUUUGAGCAGUUAAAAUAAAAUAGCAAUUUGAAGCCUCAUAUCUAUAAUUAUGUCAGAGUCUCCUGUAUAUAGAUAGCAAUGUUAUUGAUUUUAAUUGGGUCGGCUGCUUUCUAUAUUGAAAAAAAUAUUAUAAUAAUAUUUUAAAAUUUUAACUCUUUAUAUUUAAUGAGGUCUAAUUCCAUGUAAUUCAAUCCUUAAACUUUAAUAAAAGAUUUUUUUUUAUACAAUCUGAAUUUCAUUUUUUUAAUAAUUUCAUAUCUUAUUACACUAAAAAUUAUAAUAAAUAUUGAUUUGAAAUGUAGUUAAUAUAAUUUUUAAAAUAAUAAUUUUUAAAUUUUUUAAUUAUUCAAUAAAUAUUUAAUCAAUUUAUUUUUAUAAAUUGAAAUAUUCAAUAGAAAAAUAAAUUAAUAGAUUUAAUUUUAUAAAUUAAAGUAUUUAAAUAUAUUAAAAUAAAAAUAAAAAAUAUCACAAUUUUUUUUACGAAAAGCACAGCCAAUUUCAUAUACGUGGUUCGUAGCAGAUAAUUUUCUUGGAAAUCAAGUGGAAGAAGCUUUUAUUUUAUUUUAUUUUAUUUUAUUCUUUGGAAUUGAUAUGCUUAUUUUCUUUCACCGACCGUCAUUGUGACUUGUGAGGUCUUAGUCUUUUUUUUUUUUUUUUUUUUUUUUUUUUUUUUUUUUUUUUUUUUUUUUUUUUUUUUAUCUCUUUGGUACUUCCUUCCUGGAGCCUUCCAGUUCUUUCCCCCAAAGAAUAAUCCACGUCAUUCCUUCAAAGUCAUAGACGUCAUCCCUUUCAAAUCCAUCGGCUUGCGUCGCAUCUGCUCAAACCCUUCUUAGUUUUUGAUAAAAAAAAAAGCUUGGAAAUUUGGUUAGUUUACUCAGAAAUAUAAUUAAAAAAAUAUUUAUUUUUUAGCUAUUUUAAUUCAGUUCAAAUCAAAAAUAAUUUUGAGCUCAAUAAUAAAAUUAAAGACAGUAAAUGAAAUUUGAAAUUAAUUUGAUUCAUUUUUUAAAAGAUUUUCUAUAAAAAAUUCAAUAAUUUGAUUUUUGUCCAAUUUUUAUCCCAACUAAACUUAAACGACGCAUUUGUUGAACUAAGAAGUGGAUUUAUUCAUGAAAAAGUUUUAAUUUUUAAAAUGACAGAAAUAUAAAAAAAUAAUAUAUUGAUUUUACUAAGGUUAUAUAUAUGAUAAAUUAAUAAUUAGUAUUACCAUGCUUCGCGGAAUCAUGAAAUUACUCUUCUAUUUAAAAAAAAAAAAAAAAACUGAACAAUUUAUUAAUAAUGAAUAUAAAUUGAGCAUAUCAUAAUAUUUUUAUCAGAAUAAGAAACAUAGAUAUAAAAAAUUAAAAUUUUCUAUUUGGAAAUGUUCUUGAUCUUAGUAGAAAAGAUUAAUCUUUCGGAUAAAAACUGGUCCAUUUUUAAAUAGAACAAUAAAAGAAACUUUCUACAAUAUUGUUUCGAAUAUUUUUUUUCGAAAACUUGUUACAUCAAACACCUGCAAAAGUGUUUAUUAUACUAAAUUUUAAUGGAGAAAGAUGUUGCACUACCAAGCUCCAUUGGUCAAACAAAUUACCCGAACUCGAAGAUCUGAAGUCUCCGAUCACAAGCAACCAACAACUAACAAGACUUUGUAUUUCGAGUUGCCAGAGAAAUGAAAAAAAUUCAUAUAAAAAUUCCUCAAUAAUGAAAAACAACUUCAUAAAAGGAGAAAAAUUAAUAACCCAAUAAGAGGGUACCAAAAAUACUCAAAAUCUAUCGACUAUUACAUAUCCUAGAGAUUAAAUCCAAAUUUUGUUUCAAUAGAAAGAAAAGAAAAAGAAACCACCACAGACAAAAAAGAUGGUCAGGUAGUGGUUCAAAAAAUAAAAUCUAAAAAAAAAAAAGAGAUAAAAUUACUCUUGUAUAGAAAAUAUUCAUAAGUUCAUUUUUCUAAUUGUUACGAUAAUCCAAUUUUUAUCUUCCUAAAUAUUUUUUUUUAUGUGUAAUGAAAUAAAAAUUACAUUUUUUAAUAUAUUAUUAAGUUAAAAUUACUAAAUGGGACAAAUAUGAAAAAUAGUUGAUAACAAAUAUCUUUUGUUUGUUUGAAAGAAAUUCUUAAUAGCUCCUAAUCUUUCUUUAAUUUUUAAUAAAUAAACUCAUAUAUAUAUAUAUAUAUAUAUAUAUAUAUAUUGCUUUGUCUUCAUAUUUAGAGUUUUUUUCCCUUCUCUUGAUAAAGUUUCAUCCAUUUUUUGUGAGAAUCUAGUACUAAAUAAAUGUAUAAUAUUUCAUUUGAUUGAAGAAUUUAGAUUUUGAUUUAUAGAUGUGCAUCUAUAAUUAAUGGAGCUUGAUAAUGCGACAUAUUUUUCUAUUGAUGCAUAGUGACAAAAACUCAUUAUAUGCAACAAGUUCUUAGAAAAAUAAUUCAAGUUUAAAAAUUUAUAUUUACUAGUCAUUUGUAUGACGUGCACUGCACGUUGAUUAUGCUCGUUAUAUACUCAUUUUUUUAUGUAUGUAAUAUUAAAGUAUAAGUUUUGUUUAGAUUAAAAUUAAUACAAGUGGCUAAUUUGUAUUGCACUUUAUCGUACAAACUACUCGCAAUGUUACUUCUUAUGUACUUAAUUCUAUUUUUAUAUAAUGAAGUGGUCUUAGAAAAAAGUUCAACAUAAUCCUUAAACCUAAUCCUUUUGUCCCUAAAUUAAGCCAUCAUUCAAUCUUCAACCCUCUGCCCUCAACCCAAAAUCAAUAUCUACAAACAACUAUAAUGAAAAAUAAUAAUAACUUGUUUUAUACUGCUAGGUAAAAGAAAAGAAAUGAGAAGAUGAUAUGAAUUGAUAUUAGAAAUCACUUUAUCUACAAUUGUAGUAUUACUUAUCCAAUAUAUCAAAGAAAGGAAUAGAUGCACAAACACACAAAUUCUUGAAAUCCGAAAUUCAAGGGCUAAAUUUCACCUUAGAUAGCACUUCCUCUAUCCAUAGAGGAGAUUUUUUCUUACUAGUAGAGCUCAUCACGACCAUCAUAACCUAAUUCCAGGGUUGCUACGGGCACUGAUCCUUCUAUUCAAAGUUUCGUUUCUCUUGUUGAAUGUAGUUUCUCCGGAAGCAAGCUAAAGUGAGGGUUAUUCAGAUUCAGCAGUGUAAGCCCGAAAAUGUGCAUGAACAGAAAUAUAUAGUUCUAGUUUUUUUUCCAAUUUCCUAAACAUUUAUUUUCUUUUAAGUCAAAUAGAUUUAGGAUAAAAAGAAAAAAUAACAAGAAAAUUAAAAAUGCUUAAUCAACAAUGGGUCAUCUAUUUAUUGCAAGCAAGAUAUAAAUUGUAACAUCCUCUUGAGUUGAGUCGGGUUGAACCAAACCUGGUUGGGGUAGAAUGGAUGAUAAGUGGACUUAUUUGCAUGAAAAAGUUUAGGCCUUGUUUGCAGCCAAACAUACAGUGUGGGUAUUAAGUUGUGUCUUUGUACACUUGAGGUACCAAGUAGAUAUGUUACACAACCAAGUCAUUUCUUCUAGAGACUACCCGUUCUUAUCAGCUCACUUUCCCAUUUUCAUAUUCUCUUCUUACUUUCCCUCCCGUUUCCUUGCAAGUUUCAUGCACGUUAAGCACUAAGUCACCUCCAAGUAAGUAGAAUUCCUUGAAGUGUGAUGUUAUUUUCUAUUUAAUUUAGUUGUAGUGGAGAUGAGUUAUGAGAAUUCUUGUGUAUAGGAGAAGAAAGU
rnacentral:lncRNA from 1 species